rnacentral:lncRNA from 1 species
CUGGAAGUGAGAGACAGCAUUGGUUGACUACUCCACUGGUCAGUGGCCUCUACAAACCUGAUCAUCCUGAGCUGGACAUAGUACUCUGGACCUGUUCCUACCAUAGAGAUCUGGACAAAGUGAUGUCACAUAGGAAGUUUACUUGCCUUGGAAACAUGGGAGCUAUCACUGAUUUUACAGAAUUGCAUUAUAGUCCAUCAACUUUCCAGCAGGAGUCAACAAGUUUUCCUAUGAAAAAAUACUCAUGGAUCUCCUGCUGCUGCUUCAAGAAGGCUAUGGGCAGAUUCUGUUUGAAGGAGUAUAUAGCAUGACUUUUUUCAGUCCCAGUCAUGUAAGUGCUGCCAUAUUCCUGACAGGAAAGAAGAGGUGCCAGCAGAAUCACUGGGAGUUCUCCUUCUUACAAAGCAGCAGGAGCUGCCUGGAAGGUUCCCAAUCACUUUCUCUUGACCAGAUCUCCUUGUCUCCAUUUAUGCUAAUUUCUCACAUUCUUGGAUGCUGCUUCCAGACCAUAUUCCUAAAAUAUGAAUCAAUAAUAUUCCUCCUCUGCUCAAAAACCUACCAUGGCCUCUUAUUGCUGAUUGCUUAAAGUCUAUCCUUCCAGCAUGCAACCAGAGAAUAAAUUCAUUAGGAAAUGUAGCCCCAUUCUCUUGGUAAUACUUAUUUUCCUCUUUUCUAUACCUUGAACCCUCUGCUUUUGUCUUGUUUGGUACCAGUGUUCUACUUUUGUUGGUGGCGUGUUCUCUCCUUGAACUGCCUUUUCUUCUCCCUUUUGCCUACUCAAAUCUCUGCCUUUCCUCCAGCCCUCAUCCAUCCCUGAGGCCUUCUCUAUCUUCCUAUCAUUCAGAUAAAAAGGCCUUUUCUGCAAGAAAGGAACAAAGCCAUACAAAGGCAGAAGGGGAUUUAGGGGUGGGAAAGUUUACCCCUCACCUUUAAUUCCAUGUCGUCUAAAUAUAUAAUUGCCACAUUUCAUUCCAUUUUAACUCCACCUAGUAGAUGUUCCGUGGCAUCUUAUUUUUAAUUCUUUCAUUUAUUUUUUGAAACAGAAAGUUACCACUUUCUUCCAAAGUUGUCAGUCCUCCUCUGUGUUCUGUCUCUUUGAUGCUACCUUAUACUCAGGAUGCACAAACCUGAAAUUCCAAACAUCGUCCUUCAGAAUUCUUUUCUCUCCUUUGCUGCACAUCUGGUCUUCAAGAACUAUAGUUUCUAAUGUUAACAUCUUCUCCUCCUCUUCACUGUUGCUCCCUUAGUUGAACCUUCACCGUUUCCCUGAAGAUUUUCUGUAGCAGUCUCCCAAUAGAUCCCAUAUGCUUAAUUCAUUUUCCACGUUUGUCUUUGUUCUGAAGGGAAAAUAUGAUCAUUUAAGGAAAAAAUUCCGGAGUGGCACUCCAUUGCUUUUAGUGUACAAUUGAAAUUUUGUAGUUGAACUGCCACGUUUUCUCUGAUCUGUCUUGCUUCUUUCCUCGCAUCCUUUCUUCCUCUUACUGUCAGUCUUAUCCUUCCCCACCACUUGACCCUGAACAUGACAAGGUCCUUUAUGACCCACAUCACUCUCUCUACCUGCAAUGUGUUACCCCAUCUUUUCUCCUCAUCCCCUAUUCAAUCACCAAAAUUCCUUAAAAGAAUCAUCACAACUGAGGAAGUUUCCAGAACAUCCAGAUCUAGGUAACAUUCUAUUUCUCUGUGUGUACUUAAUCCUAUCACAGCACUUAAUCGUCACUUUUAAUGUUGGUCUGCCCAAAUAAAGUCUGAACAUUGUGAAGGCAGAGCACCUAGCAUCUAGCACAAGACCUGGCGAAAAUGAAGUCCUCGUAAAUAAUUAUGAAUGCAUGAAUAAAUAGCAUGUAAUCCAAAG